CCCGGCCCAGCGCGGCGCCGUGCUGCGCAUGCUCGCGGCGCGCGACGGGCUCGUGCUGCGGGGCCAGGGCUUCGACCGCCUCGGCCGGGCC
rnacentral:tRNA from 1 species